GGAUGUGAGUGAGAUCUGGCUGUGACAUCUGUCACCCUGUUGAUUGCCAGGGUUGAUUUGGCUGAUACGGCUGGCUAAGCAGGUGUCCCCAUCCUCUCUUACCAUCCUAUGUGUGUCUCUCUUGAAGCUGCACGUGUUCUGGUGGAAGAGGACGACCUUCCUUUGUAGAGGAGGACCAUCCUUCUGUAAAGGGCAUAAGAGUAGCUGUCCUUCUCCCCUGCUAGAACUUCUAAAUUAGCUCUGAAGAAAUGUACUUUAAUAUAAAAGCACAAUAGAUUAAAAGUAAGGAAUGGAAACACAAGUCAAAAGAAAGCUGGAGUAGCUAUAUUACUAU
rnacentral:snRNA from 1 species